rnacentral:rRNA from 1 species
AUGGAAUAUACCAUCCGCGAGCUGCUGUUCGUACUCCCCUGUGCUGGAACCGUCCACCGGAGAUGCUUCAACCACGGCAGCGCGAGUGCGCGACCUCCUCCCCUACCGCUGCAACCAUCUGCUUCAAGACGAACUUUGGAAGCAUUUUUUUUUCUCUCCACCGAUGUUGCAACCGACCACCAAAAAAGCUACAACCGUUCAAUUCGAGAGCUUCAACUAGCGGUAUAUCAAGCUUCAACCGGACACCAUGCACUGAAAAAAGCUACAACCGUUCGUACGAAAAGCUUCAACCGUAGUAUGAAAAGCUUCAACAAGAGGUUAAAAAAGCUUCAACCAGAUAUGCAUGAAAAGCUUUUCAAGAAGUCAUUGCCAUGGCGGAAUGCUACAACCAUCGACAUAAAAUGCUACAACCCUUGA